AUGUCACAAUUGGUGUCUGAGCUCUGCCUACCAGAUAGCCAUGGUGAGCCACUUCACGUCAAACUAGACCACGAAGCUCCCCAGCCAGGAGCUACCAUGCUGGACCAUCCACUAUCUGGUCUUGCAUGAAGACAGCCCAGUUUCCAGGGCUCGGAAUAGAACACCACACCUUUCAGAACCACCUGUUGCGCUCUGCACACACCACCAGCUAAGAAGCCCUGCAAUGAUUGUUGUCUUAUGGAUGCUUCUCAUUGCAGGAACAAUGUGGAAGGGCUACAGAUAUCCCCCAGGAGGGACCCCAGUGGAAAUAAGCAAAGAUGAUCCUGGUGAAGUGAUGCAGCUCUGAAGCUUUCCCACCCAGCUGUACAGUUCCUGAUGGUGUCCCAUAUAAAGUAAUUGCACAUUA